UACGAAGGGGGCUAGCGUUGUUCGGAAUUACUGGGCGUAAAGCGCACGUAGGCGGAUAUGUAAGUCAGUGGUGAAAUCUCUAGGCUUAACCUGGAAAUUGCCGUUGAUACUAUAUAUCUUGAAUGCUGUGGAGGUAAGCGGAAUAUGUCAUGUAGCGGUGAAAUGCUUAGAUAUGACAUAGAACACCUAUUGCGAAGGCAGCUUACUACGCAGAUAUUGACGCUCAUGCACGAAAGCGUGGGGAUCAAACAGG
rnacentral:rRNA from 1 species